CCUACGGGAGGCAGCAGUGGGGAAUAUUGGACAAUGGGCGCAAGCCUGAUCCAGCCAUGCCGCGUGUGUGAAGAAGGCCUUCGGGUUGUAAAGCACUUUUAUCCGGAAAGAAAAGCUUUGGGUUAAUACCCUGAAGUCAUGACGGUACCGGAAGAAUAAGCACCGGCUAACUUCGUGCCAGCAGCCGCGGUAAUACGAAGGGUGCAAGCGUUACUCGGAAUUACUGGGCGUAAAGCGUGCGUAGGUGGUUUGUUAAGUCUGAUGUGAAAGCCCUAGGCUCAACCUGGGAAUUGCAUUGGAUACUGGCAGGCUAGAGUGCGGUAGAGGAUAGUGGAAUUCCCGGUGUAGCAGUGAAAUGCGUAGAGAUCGGGAGGAACAUCUGUGGCGAAGGCGACUAUCUGGGCCAGCACUGACACUGAGGCACGAAAGCGUGGGGAGCAAACAGGAUUAGAUACCCUGGUAGUCCACGCCCUAAACGAUGCGAACUGGAUGUUGGGUGCAACUAGGCACUCAGUAUCGAAGCUAACGCGUUAAGUUCGCCGCCUGGGGAGUACGGUCGCAAGACUGAAACUUAAAUGAAUUGACGGCUGAGACGNGCGAGGCGACGACGAGGGGAGGAGG
rnacentral:rRNA from 1 species